GCGGAAGUAGUUCAGCGGUAGAACAUCACCUUGCCAAGGUGGGGGUCGCGGGUUCGAGUCCCGUCUUCCGCUCCA
rnacentral:tRNA from 1 species